ACAAAACUAACACUAAACACAAAGAAAACUAAGCUUGGCCUGACUCUCUCUAGCUUGGAGCUAUGAUCAAUCCCCAGAAGAGUCGCCAGGUGUCGCAUCUCGAAAAAUGCGAUCAUUCGCGAGGCGCUCGCACGCUCGCGGAAAAGAUGUUCGAACAGAGUCGCCACAAAAUUUUAUUUAUUCCAAUGAAGGAAAGAGAAAAUAUCGAUAAAACCCACGAUAAACAACAAAAAC
rnacentral:lncRNA from 1 species